rnacentral:rRNA from 1 species
UACGUAGGUGACAAGCGUUGUCCGGAUUUACUGGGCGUAAAGAGCGCGCAGGCGGUCGAUCAAGUCGAGUGUGAAAGCCCCCGGCUCAACUGGGGAGGGUCAUUCGAUACUGAUCGACUCGAAGGCAGGAGAGGGUAGUGGAAUUCCCGGUGUAGUGGUGAAAUGCGUAGAUAUCGGGAGGAACACCAGUGGCGAAGGCGACUACCUGGCCUGUUCUUGACGCUGAGGCGCGAAGGCUAGGGGGAGCAAACGGGG